rnacentral:lncRNA from 1 species
UCUCGUGAAGAAAAAAAAAGAAAGAAAGAAAAGAAGAAAGAAAAAAUAAAAUAAAUUAAUUAAUAAAUAAUAAAAUAAAUAAUAAAAUAUGAGAAAGAGAGUUUCUCUUUCUUCCCUCUCUCCCUUCAGCCUGAGCUAGUAUUUUCUCUCUUUAGAAUUGAAUUUUCUCUCUCUACUUUCUCUCUCUAAGUUAUUUCUCUCUCCUAAGAUUUUUUAGAAUUUUGAGAAGAAUGAUGAUGAAUUUAAAUGAUCUUAGUGAUGGGUUUUUUUGAUCUGCGAUCGUCGAACGGUAUACCGGCACCCACUUUGAUCA